UACGUAGGCAGCAAGCGUUGUUCGGAGUUACUGGGCGUAAAGGGUGUGUAGGCGGUUGUUUAAGUUUGGUGUGAAAUCUCCCGGCUCAACUGGGAGGGUGCGCCGAAUACUGAAUGACUAGAGUGCGGGAGAGGAAAGUGGAAUUCCUGGUGUAGCGGUGAAAUGCGUAGAUAUCAGGAGGAACACCGGUGGUGUAGACGGCUUUCUGGACCGUAACUGACGCUGAGGCACGAAAGCCAGGGGAGCAAACGGG
rnacentral:rRNA from 1 species